ACACAUGCAGUCGAACGGAAUCCAUGGUGUAGCAAUACACCGGAAGAUUUAGUGGCGAACGGGUGAGGAUCACGUGAGAAACCUGCCCCAGACUUUGGGAUAACAAUUGGAAACGAUUGCUAAUACCGAAUGACGUCGGAGAACCGCAUGGUUCACUGACGAAAGGAAAUCCGGUUUGGGAGGGUCUCGCGGCCUAUCAGCUUGUUGGUGGGGUAAUGGCCUACCAAGGCAACGACGGGUAGCUGGUCUGAGAGGAUGAUCAGCCACACUGGGACUGAGACACGGCCCAGACUCCUACGGGAGGCAGCAGUGGGGAAUCUUGCGCAAUGGGCGAAAGCCUGACGCAGCAACGCCGCGUGCGGGAUGAAGGCCUUCGGGCUGUAAACCGCCUUCAGCAGGAACGAAAAUGACGGUACCUGCAGAAGAAGGAGCGGCCAACUACGUGCCAGCAGCCGCGGUGACACGUAGGCUCCAAGCGUUGUCCGGAUUUAUUGGGCGUAAAGAGCUCGUAGGCGGUUUAGUAAGUCGGGUGUUAAAACUCUGGGCUCAACCCGGAGAGGCCAUCCGAUACUGCUGUGACUUGAGUUCAGGAGGGGAGCGGGGAAUUCCUAGUGUAGCGGGUGAAAUGCGCAGAUAUUAGGAGGAACACCGGUGGCGAAGGCGCCGCUCUGGACUGAAACUGACGCUGAGGAACGAAAGCAUGGGUAGCAAACAGGAUUAGAUACCCUGGUAGUCCAUGCCGUAAACGGUGGCACUAGGUGUGGUUCCAACUAACGGGAUCCGCGCCGUCGCUACGCAUUAAGUGCCCGCCUGGGAGUACGGUCGCAGACUAAACUCAAGGAAUGACGGGGCCCGCACAGCAGCGGAGCGUGU
rnacentral:rRNA from 1 species